UACGUAGGGACCAAGCGUUGUUCGGAUUUAUUGGGCGUAAAGGGCGCGUAGGCGGCGCGGUAAGUCACUUGUGAAAUCUCUGAGCUUAACUCAGAACGGCCAAGUGAUACUGCAGUGCUAGAGUGUGGAAGGGGCAAUCGGAAUUCUUGGUGUAGCGGUGAAAUGCGUAGAUAUCAAGAGGAACACCUGAGGUGAAGACGGGUUGCUGGGCCAACACUGACGCUGAGGCGCGAAAGCCAGGGGAGCAAACGGG
rnacentral:rRNA from 1 species